AGCUGCUCAGAGCAUUCAACUGGUUUACAAUUUCUGUAAACAGAAGCCAGUCAAGACAAAUAUAAAGAAAAAUGCAAGAUAAUGAAAACUGAAGAGCGGCAGAUACAACUUUUUUAGAUAAUGGCUUGAAUUUUAACUUGACAUCAGUCUGAGUUGGCAUAGGGCUUGCAUACUGUUUCAUAUUGAUGCUGCUAGUAGCAAGAGCUUUCCUUCGACCAGAAGGGGAUUCCUGGAAGAUUAAA
rnacentral:lncRNA from 1 species